GACGUAGGGCGCGAGCGUUGUCCGGAUUUAUUGGGCGUAAAGAGCUCGUAGGCGGCUUGUCGCGUCGACCGUGAAAACUUGGGGCUCAACCCCAAGCCUGCGGUCGAUACGGGCAGGCUCGAGUUCGGUAGGGGAGACUGGAAUUCCUGGUGUAGCGGUGAAAUGCGCAGAUAUCAGGAGGAACACCGAUGGCGAAGGCAGGUCUCUGGGCCGAUACUGACGCUGAGGAGCGAAGGCGUGGGGAGCGAACAGG
rnacentral:rRNA from 1 species